rnacentral:tRNA from 1 species
GGGGAUUUAGCUCAGUGGUAGAGUGCUUGCCUAGCAAGCACAAGGCCCUGGGUUCAAGUCCCCAGCUCCG